GUGCAGGGGUUCUUGCUGGGAUGAUAAUAUUUUUUAAAAUUUGAUUGAGAUGUCGGUUACCUUACAUACACCAAAUAUAUCGAAACCAUUGAAUUAGACACUUGAAAUGGAUGAAUUGCAUGGUAUGUGAAUGCUAUCUCAAAAAGGCUGUUAAAAAAAGAACUAGUCACAGCACAAUAAAUAUAGAUGAUACAAUCUGUAGAGAAUUCAGAAUCUGGCAACACUAGACAACAUGUCAUUUAAGAAUAGGUGGCAAAACUAUAAAGAAAUCAAAGGAAUAUAGUUAAUAAUAUUGUAAUAACUUUGUACGGUGACAGAUGAUUACUAGACUUUUUGUGGGGAUACCGUAGGAUAUUGAAUGUCACUUGUAUGUCAGUAAUAAAAAAAAGAAAUGAAAAGAAUGAUCCUUCAAAUGUCAGGAGAGUAUUUGUUCUUGGAGGCAGGAGGGCAGCAGGUAAAUGGGGGAGCACAGAAGUCAGUGGCCAUCUAACAAACUCGACAUAACUGAGUCUUACUGCAACUGGUGUUUUCGCAGGCACGAUCUUUUUAAAAAUAAUUGUACGUCUCUUAGGAACAAUCUUUUGAAUGUAUGACAUGUCUUAAAAUAAAGAAAUAGAAAAUGAGAGGAGGAGGAGGAGGCCAAAGGAGAGGCAGGACCAAAAGUUACCUGGCAUUCAUGGUGCAGAGUCCAGAGCACCAGCUUCUUGUUCCCCUGGGAACCUUAUCUGGCAUAGCUUGUGAGAGGAGCAGAAAUGAAGAUCCCCAGGAGGAUAAGUCUCCUAAGGCUAGAAGCUGAAGGAAGAGCAGGCUCAUCCAGUUCCAGGUGGAGAAUAUGGACAAAGUCAGCCAUGAGAAUUGUUUUGGCCAAUGGAAUGUGAGCGAACAUAAUGGAGGCCACAUCAGAGCAGAAGCUUUAAAUGCUAUUCUGUGAUUUGCCUUGGACACUCUUGCUUCUGCUCCCCGCUGGGGAACAUGGUGAAGCAUAGGUGCUGUUCCUUCAUUUUAGGUUCCAGAGUGGAGGGUUCCACGGGGCGCAGACCCGAAGUCAUCCUGUGACCUGGAACAAAGCCACAGCUGACCUGCAGCCCUUAUGUAACAGGAGCAAAACCAUAAAGCUUUGAUGCUGGAAGCCUCUGACAUUUGGGGAUUAUUUGUUACCCAGCAAAAGCUGACCAGUACCUGUUGUCUAGUAUGGAUUGUAAGCUCUCAGAUGACAAGGGCCAAAGUGUAGCAUAGCACAGUAAUGUGUGUACCAUCAAAUCUAGAAUCGAGAUCAAUAGCCCUUUGGGCCCCAAAUUCCACAUUGUGGGGUGGAGGUGUGUGGAAGGGGAUGGAGGCUUAGGCAUGGUGUUAGAGAACGCUUGACGAUGCCUCUAAAAGGGGAGGAGAAAAAAAGGAGAGAGAGGUAAAAAGAGAACUUUGGAAACUGGGUGGUGGGAUGAGAGACUGGAGCGAGACAGUGGAGGCGGAAAGAAGCAGGUGAGAAAGAUGGAGAGGGAGGGAUGACAUGCCAUCAGGAAGUGGCACAGAUGAUAUUGUAACAGCGUUGUAGGGGGGCGGACAGUAGCCAGGCCCACGGUGAGCACCGCAUAAUGGGUCCCUAUGUCAUACACCUGAAAUGAAUGCAGUGCUCUGUGUCCACUACACUUUAAAAAAAAAAAAAAAGUGGUGAAGAAAUGCUUUUCAUCUCCGUCACCACAGGUGGUAUCCUUUCUGCUCUUAAAAAUGGUGCUGGCGGGAUCUCUUCCUCAAAUGCGCCUCUCACCUCAUUUCCUUAGCCAGAAAGUGAAAAUACCCCUUGUCAGAUUUGAUAGAAAUGCCUGCAGUCCUAGCUCCUCCUGGCACCAAGGGACCCACAUUUCUUCUGUAUCCAAAUGAGGGCCUCCCUUUAGGUUUUCUUGUGUACAUGAUUUUUUCCUGGGCACUUGCCUCUGAACUUUCCUUUUUCUCUAAAUAUGCAGGUCUCUAACCCCCAGGUCUACUCUUUCCCCUUCUGGGUACUUAAAUUUCUCCCAGGGAAUGUCCUAGCAUCUUCAGCUUUGUACACAGCCCCUUUCUCACUGGGUUGGAAAGCAGGAUUAUUUGAUGCUGUUGGCCCGAGAAACUUCACUGAGCAUUGAGAUGUAGGUGGAGAGAAUUUAAAUUCAUAUUUAAUAACCAGCUUGCCUUUUUUUAUACUUAAGGCUUUUUUUUUUCAAAAGAAAAAAAUCUAAUUAUGCACAAGAGAAAUUCACUUAGAAUUAAUUCACUAGGAAUUAAAUUGAAAAAAGGUAAGGAUGUUAACAAUCUCUUUUAAAAAAAUAAUUCAAAUUAGAAACACUAAUUAUAGGAGCUCCUUUAUAUAACACGAAACACAGUUCUCUGAGGCCUGGGGAAGAGGGCUGAUUGUGAAGCAGACUCUCAGAGUACAGUGUCUGAUUUAUGGGAGACUUGGUGUGAGUGAGGAAUAAAAUUUCCCUUGAGGAAGGACAGCCCAGUUCCGCUGAUACACUGUGUGAUCAUAUCUGGAGAGACCAAAUGACAUAACGUAGCAGGAAGACCAUGUGAGGACACAGGGACAAGGCAGUCAUCUACACACCAAGGAGCAAGGCUUCAGAAGAAACCAAAUUUGCCCACACCCUAGUCUGAACUCCUAGCUUCUAGAACUGUGAGAAAAUAGAUUUCUGAUGUUUAAACCAUCCAGUCUGUGGAACUUUGUUAUGGCAGCUCUAGCAAAUUAAUAAGUAGUAGUAGUCUGUGGACUUUUAAUUUUAAUUAUACACACAGGCAAACACACACAUGCAAACACACACAUAUACACACACACACACUCUCUUACUCUAGAUUUACAGCCUAAAAUUAUUGACGAAUGUUGGGUUACAACAAGGCCACAAUAUUUCCAUAUUCAGAAAGCGAGCCUGAGACACCAUCUGUAGCCCUCCGGGUGAGGACAAUGGUGACAGGACACUGACCCUCUCAACAAGGGCAAGCAAAGGCUGCCUAUGGCAUCCCUAGUGGCAAGAAAGAGAAGCCCUUGGCUUAGCAGAGGGAGACAUCUAUUCUGUAUGUGAAAUCCAGUGUUUCUCUUUUUUUCAGGGCAAAAGAAUAUGUUAGAACAAAGCAACACUCUUUAAGUACAAAUUAUUUAUAUUGAUUUUUUUUUUUUUUUUUAGAGUAGGCAACUUAUUGCCCGGUGAGCUCAGCCAUUUGGAAUGUACCCAGGAGCAUAGAAGAAAGCCAGAAAGUUUACAAGUCAGUAAGCCUCAGUAUCAUAAAAUCCAUGACCUGAAGUUUGCCAGCUGUAGUCACAGGAAAGCUCCUCUGGCCCUCAUACAACGUCUUUAUUCUCAUUUUAGGCCUUAGUAGUUUAAAAAGAUGCAUUGCUUUAACUUUAAAACAUUUUAUGAUACUGUAUUUAUGGGCCAGGCUCAGGGGUGGAUUUUCUCCUUUGGUCAAGACCAACCCUUGAUGAUAAGGUGUAUGUUUUAGGAUAUCCAGAAACCUAGAAUCCUUGAAGAGUCCUUUUGCUUUCUCCUUAUUUUCUAUCUAAAAAAAAUAUAUAAAAUAGUUUUUAGAUAUAAUCAUGCAGAUUUGUGUUCUGUUUGGUGAGAUGAUUUACUUAUUGCAUGUGUCUGAGCAGACCAGAUCAAGCUCCCAGCUGGAAAGGAGCCUGCCACUGGGGUCUGCUCAGAAGGAGGACCAAGUGCUGGAUCUUUCAGGAUCUCUAUCUUGGGGAUAAUUUGACUGACAGCAGCAGGGUCUAGUCUCAUCCCCUUUACCUGAUGGGGGCAGGCUUAAGGAGCCCCCCUUUCUGUUUUUGUGGAACAGAUUUCUCUCAAGAGCUUUGCAAGCAUACAUGGGUUUCAUUUGUUGCAAUGCUGUGAAAUUUGCAUUUCUGCAAGAAGUACACCUUGAAUACAACACCUACUGGUAUUAAUUUAAUUUGUUUUUUCCCCAGA
rnacentral:lncRNA from 1 species